UCAGACAUCUCAGUGAUCUCAGUGAGGGUACCUGUUGUUUUUCUUAUUUCAGUUUGAGAUCUUCCUGGUUCCUGGUAUAAUAAGUGAUUUUUUUUUAAUAGAAAUCUGAACUUCUGGAGUAUCAUGCUGUGAGAUUAUGGAUCUCAUUUAAAUCUGUUUUAGCUGUCUUCUUCUGACAUCACUCUUACUUGGGAAAUAGGAUCAUCACCCUAGUACUGCCAAGUCAAGAUAGAAGUCCAUAGUCUAUACUUAACCUCUCUUAACAACGAAAGAAUCUCCUCUUUCCUGCUGGCUGGGAAAAGGGGUUUUGGCUUCCCAGUAGAUCUCCACCCAAACUUUUCCUGGAUGGAAGGAGUAGGAAUGCCUCACAUGUGGCCUCCAUGGGUGCCAUGGGGAGGGUGGUCACACUACUGCCAUGGUGAAGGUCCUGACUUUCUAUUAGGCCUCCUCUGUCACCCUACCAGUUGGGGGAGGAGAGAAAGAGGAGAAAGGGGAGAAGAAAGGUUGUGAUACCUUUUUACAGGCUCCUCCGUGGUCUCCACUGAUUCUGGGGAGGGAGUACUGAUUACCACUUGGAAGGAAUAGAGCCUUGGUUCCUGCCUCAGCACCUGCUGGCACCACGCUGGGGAAAUGGAGGAGGUGAGGGGCAGUGUUACAGCCUGGUUAGGGUGGAACUCCAGACUCCUCAUUAGGCUUCUCCUGGCAUGGGUAGGGGUGAGACCAUAAUUUUUUCUAUGUUGUUUAGAUGAAUUAGAGAGAAGUUAUAGUCUAAAAUUCCUUUGUCUUAUUAGGCUAUUCACUCUGCUUCCUUGACAAGAGAGAGACUUUUUGCCAAGGCUUCCCCGCCCCCAUCUGUGAUUACUGGCAUUUCUCUGUUGCUAGUUUCUUUAUUUACAGAAUAUGUGAGGAACGCAACACUGUUGUGUUUCACGGAUCCCAAAGUUUCCCAGUCAUUUACCUUACUCUGUUCCCUGUAGAGUCUUGUCAUGUUUGUUCCAUAGAUAAUGUGCAGGAUUUUCCGUUGUAUGUAGUAGGAAGAACAGGGGAAAGUGCAUCUGCUACACUUCCUUGGAAGCAGAAUUACCCAUUCUGUUGUUGUUUUAGUUAUUCUCAGAUUUAAUUGUGAAACAUAACAUGUCCUAACAGAUAAUAU
rnacentral:lncRNA from 1 species